rnacentral:rRNA from 1 species
UACGGAGGAUGCGAGCGUUAUCCGGAAUUAUUGGGCGUAAGGAGCGCGCAGGUGGUUGAUUAAGUCUGAUGUGAAAGCCCACGGCUUAACCGUGGAGGGUCAUUGGAAACUGGUCGACUUGAGUGCAGAAGAGGGAAGUGGAAUUCCAUGUGUAGCGGUGAAAUGCGUAGAGAUAUGGAGGAACACCAGUGGCGAAGGCGGCUUCCUGGUCUGUAACUGACACUGAGGCGCGAAAGCGUGGGGAGCAAACAGGAUUAGA